GACGAACGCUGGCGGCGUGCUUAACACAUGCAAGUCGAACGGAAGGGCCCUGCUUUUGCUGGGUUCUCGUGUGGCGAACGGGUGAGUAACACGUGUGUAACCUGUCCUUGUCUUUGGGAUAACUUCACGAAACUGGGGCUAAUAUCCGGGAGGAUCUCUUGCUGCAUGGUGGUCGUUGGAAAGUUUCGGCGGUUGGGGAUGGACUCGCUGCUUAUCAGCUUGAUUGUGGGGUAGGUGCUUACCAAGGCUUUGACGGAUAGCCGGCCUGGGAGGGUGAACGGCCUCCUUGCGACUGAGGUACGGCGCAGAAUCCUACGGGCGGCAGCAGGGGGGAGUAUUGCGCAGUGGGCGGGAGCCAGAGGCAGCAGCGCCGCGAGCGGGAUGACGGCCUUCGGGGGGUAAACCGAUUUCGCCUGUGCCGAGGAGUGAGUGACGGUAAUGGGUAAAGAAGCCCCGGCUAACUACGUG
rnacentral:rRNA from 1 species